UACGAAGGGUGCUAGCGUUGCUCGGAAUCACUGGGCGUAAAGGGCGCGUAGGCGGAUCUUUAAGUCAGGGGUGAAAGCCUGAGGCUCAACCUCAGAAUUGCCUUUGAUACUGAAGAUCUUGAGACCGGAAGAGGUUAGUGGAACUGCGAGUGUAGAGGUGAAAUUCGUAGAUAUUCGCAAGAACACCAGUGGCGAAGGCGGCUAACUGGUCCGGUUCUGACGCUGAGGCGCGAAAGCGUGGGGAGCAAACAGG
rnacentral:rRNA from 1 species